rnacentral:lncRNA from 1 species
GCAGGAGAAUCGCUUCAACCCGGGAGCAGAGGGUGCACUGAGCCGAGAUCGCCCCACUGCCUCCAGCCUGGGAGACAGAGCGAGACGCUGUCCACCCCCGCCUCCACCAAAAACAAAACAAAACAAAAACAAAAACCUGAGACUGGGUAAUUUAUAGAGAAAAGAGUUUAAUUGGCUCAGGCUUUGUGGGUUAUAUGGAAAGCAUAGCUGCUUCUGCUUCUGGAGAGACCCAGGAAGCUUCCAACCAUGGUGGAAGAUGAAGCGGGAGCAGGUGUCUCCCAUGGCGAGAGUGGGAACGAGAGAGACAGAGCAGGGAAAUGUGCAGAGCAAAUGGUUGGAGAGCGAAGUCCAGGCACAGGGGCCAUGAGAACCGGACCCCACACAGCUGCAGACCCUGA